UACGUAGGGUGCGAGCGUUGUCCGGAAUUAUUGGGCGUAAAGAGCUCGUAGGCGGCUUGUCACGUCGGGUGUGAAAGCCCGGGGCUUAACCCCGGGUCUGCAUUCGAUACGGGCUAGCUAGAGUGUGGUAGGGGAGAUCGGAAUUCCUGGUGUAGCGGUGAAAUGCGCAGAUAUCAGGAGGAACACCGGUGGCGAAGGCGGAUCUCUGGGCCACUACUGACGCUGAGGAGCGAAAGCGUGGGGAGCGAACAGG
rnacentral:rRNA from 1 species